AUCGCUUCUCGGCCUUGUGGCUAACGUCAAAGCGUAGCAUCUGUUCUUAACAACUUAACACCUUACCGACCGAUAGCUUAUUAAUUGUUGCCGACAAUCUUUCUCAUUAUUUGAACAGUAAUUUGCUAUUUAGUACUAAGGUACCUUGUUCAGCUGCGUCAGCUGCGCUACUUUGUAAGCUUUCACAGUUUUAUACCAAUUUGAAAAACGUACCAUUC